AGCCGAGCGGUAGAAGUCCUUCGGGACUUUGAGAGCGGCGUACGGGUGCGUAACACGUGUGCAACCUACCUUUAUCAGGGGAAUAGCCUUUCGAAAGGAAGAUUAAUACCCCAUAAUAUAUUGAAUGGCAUCAUUUAAUAUUGAAAACUCCGGUGGAUAGAGAUGGGCACGCGCAAGAUUAGAUAGUUGGUGAGGUAACGGCUCACCAAGUCAAUGAUCUUUAGGGGUCCUGAGAGGGAGAUCCCCCACACUGGUACUGAGACACGGACCAGACUCCUACGGGAGGCAGCAGUGAGGAAUAUUGGACAAUGGGUGAGAGCCUGAUCCAGCCAUCCCGCGUGAAGGAUGACGGUCCUAUGGAUUGUAAACUUCUUUUGUAUAGGGAUAAACCUACUCUCGUGAGAGUAGCUGAAGGUACUAUACGAAUAAGCACCGGCUAACUCCGUGCCAGCAGCCGCGGUAAUACGGAGGGUGCAAGCGUUAUCCGGAUUUAUUGGGUUUAAAGGGUCCGUAGGCGGACCGAUAAGUCAGUGGUGAAAUCUCAUAGCUUAACUAUGAAACUGCCGUUGAUACUGUCGGUCUUGAGUAAAUUUGAAGUGGCUGGAAUAAGUAGUGUAGCGGUGAAAUGCAUAGAUAUUACUUAGAACACCAAUUGCGAAGGCAGGUCACUAAGAUUUAACUGACGCUGAGGGACGAAAGC
rnacentral:rRNA from 1 species